rnacentral:rRNA from 1 species
UCAAGCGUUGUUCGGAAUUACUGGUCGUAAAGGGUGCGCAGGCCGCGCGGGCAGUCAGAUGUGUAAUCCAGGGGCUCAACCCCUGAACUGCGCUUGAUACUUCCGCGCUCGAGCUUUGGAGAGGAGUCUGGAAUUCUCGGUGUAGCAGUGAAAUGCGUGGAUAUCGAGAAGAACACUUAGGGCGUAGGCAAGACUCUGGACAAAUGCUGACGCUCAUGCACGAAGGCUAGGGUAGCGAACGAG